UAGCUGAAGUCCAGCAGAUCAUCAGGUUCAGACUAGAUCCUUUGGCUCGUCGACAGGUACUAGCGUCAGGGCAGUCGUCAGUGCUUGCAGUUUGGUUCUCCUUCUUCGAUGGGUGAGGCUGGUUUUGUUACUCGAGGAGUGACUUGGUGGUAAGUUUGUUGAGUGGCUGUAGAGCUGCUCUUUUUUCUUAGCUUUAUGUUCGGUUUCUUUGUAAUAAGUUUUUUUUAAUAAUAAAUGGAAAUUUAAAGUAAAAAAAAAAAAAAAAAAAAAAAUCUAAAGUAAGAAUUACUAAUGCAUUUUUAUCUAAGAGUUCCAAAUUAUAAUAUUAAUAUUAUUACACUGAUUAUUUUUCUUGCGAUGAUAAACAAUUAAGUUCACGUGAAGCGCGAUAUGAUAUCAAGUUCACUAUUAAAAAGCUCACUGGGUUAAAAACUAAACCAUUACAGUAUCUAUAGUAGACGAAUGUGAAUA
rnacentral:lncRNA from 1 species